AUGAGGAUCCUAAGUUGGAACUGCCGAGGUUUAGGGCAACCUCGGACAGUUCAGGAGCUCGUGUGCCUUGUGAGCACAUAUCGCCCGUCGGUAGUUUUUAUCCCAGAGACCCGUCAGUGUGCCGAAAAUGUCAGGAACCUAAGGUGGAGACUAGGCCUGAAACAUUGUAUUACCCACAAUGGGAAGGGCAAGGGAGGAGGGAUAGCAUUGUUUUGGGAU
rnacentral:rRNA from 1 species